GAGAUAGAACAGCUGCUGAGAGCAGGCUCUCUUUAAGAGCCUUGGCUCCUGCAUGGACUCUGGAGGCCACAGGAAUGGACAGCCUUGCCUAAUGAUGCCAAGGACCAGGCUGGCUUGCUUGUGUUUUGUCCACUUCACAACCUUCUCUAAAGCCCGACUGAGAACUUGCUCCCCAAAGAAAGUUCCUCAUACCCUGCUCUUGGAAGGACUUGGGUCAGUGCUCGGAGAAUCGUUCUGCUUAAUUCUUUGUGAAAAAAUUAAGCAGGCUAGCAUUACCCCUGCUUGGCUGAGGUGAUCAAGAUCUUUCAACAAGGAAGUGUGGCUCAGUGUGAGUACCUACAUCUUCAGAGAAGACAGUAACGCUGGAAGAAUAGCCCUUGAUAACUGAAGAGAAGCUGUUAGUCAGCAGCUCUGUGCCACACCAAAAACAAAAGAAGACAAGACAAACAGAAAACAACACCAACAAACUCAACUGUUUACAUUGUGGCAGAGGGCUUGUGUGACAGUCAGCACUGAUGUACAGCUAGGGGAGAGACAGAGAAAAGGAGCGAGGACAUUUUGUGGUAAGGCUAUCUAUGGAACUAUUAGCAUUUUAUAAAUGAGCGUUAUUAUAAAUACAUUAAUGUAAAAAUAAGAAUUUGAGUUUU